rnacentral:rRNA from 1 species
GACGGAGGGUGCAAGCGUUGUUCGGAUUGACUGGGCGUAAAGGGCGUGUAGGCGGUCGGCCAAGUCUGAUGUGAAAGCCCGAGGCUCAGCCUCGGAAGUGCGUCGGAAACUAGUCGGCUGGAGCGCGAUAGAGGAGGGUGGAAUUCCUGGUGUAGCGGUGAAAUGCGUAGAUAUCAGGAGGAACACCGGUGGCGAAGGCGGGUCUCUGGGCAGUAACUGACGCUGAGGAGCGAAAGCGUGGGGAGCGAACAGG